UACAUUACUGUUCAUGUCGCUGUUUCAUUAAUCACGAAUUGAUUUUUCUUCGCUAUAUAUGAUCCUACUUGGUCCUGCAGUUGAUAGAUGAAUCGCCGAUUGUUGAUUUUGCGUCACUGACUCUGAUUACUUUAGGGAAUGGUUAUUGGGAGUCGAUGAGGAUGGAUGGGACUAACAGUGCUGGGAAUUCAUACCUGUAUUUUGCUGAAAUAUCCUCCUCCAGGUUCAUAAUUCACAGGAUAUAGGGCGAACUAGUUGGUUACUCUACUGU